GACGUAGGGGGCAAGCGUUGUCCGGAAUCAUUGGGCGUAAAGCGCUCGUAGGUGGAUCGGUAAGUCUGCAAAGAAAGACCCGGGCUCAACUCGGGGAACGGUGUGGAUACUACCGAUCUUGAGGCAAUCAGAGGAUGAUGGAAUUCCCGGUGUAGCGGUGAAAUGCGUAGAUAUCGGAAGGAACACCUGUGGCGAAAGCGGCUCACUGGACCAUUACUGACGCUGAUGCACGAAAGCUAGGGGAGCAAACAGG
rnacentral:rRNA from 1 species